GUGCCAGCCGCCGCGGUAAUACAGAGACUGCAAGCGUUGUUCGGAUUCACUGGGCGUAAAGGGUGCGCAGGCGGCCAAGUGUGUCAGGUGUGAAAGCUCGAGGCUUAACCUCGAAACUGCGCCUGAAACUAUUUGGCUAGAGUACUGGAGAGGGAAGUGGAAUUCACGGUGUAGCAGUGAAAUGCGUAGAUAUCGUGAGGAACACCAAUGGCGAAGGCAACUUCCUGGACAGUUACUGACGCUCAGGCACGAAAGCGUGGGGAGCAAAAGGGAUUAGAAACCCCUGUAGUCC
rnacentral:rRNA from 1 species